GGACGCCAGUCUGCAUGGAGCCGACCUUGAAAUACCACCCUUUAAUGUUUGAUGUUCUAACGUGGACCCGUUACCCGGGUUGCGGACAGUGUCUGGUGGGUAGUUUGACUGGGGCGGUCUCCUCCUAAAGAGUAACGGAGGAGCACGAAGGUUGGCUAAUCCUGGUCGGACAUCAGGAGGUUAGUGCAAUGGCAUAAGCCAGCUUGACUGCGAGCGUGACGGCGCGAGCAGGUGCGAAAGCAGGUCAUAGUGAUCCGGUGGUUCUGAAUGGAAGGGCCAUCGCUCAACGGAUAAAAGGUACUCCGGGGAUAACAGGCUGAUACCGCCCAAGAGUUCAUAUCGACGGCGGUGUUUGGCACCUCGAUGUCGGCUCAUCACAUCCUGGGGCUGAAGUAGGUCCCAAGGGUAUGGCUGUUCGCCAUUUAAAGUGGUACGCGAGCUGGGUUUAGAACGUCGUGAGACAGUUCGGUCCCUAUCUGCCGUGGGCGCUGGAGAACUGAGGGGGGCUGCUCCUAGUACGAGAGGACCGGAGUGGACGCAUCACUGGUGUUCGGGUUGUCAUGCCAAUGGCACUGCCCGGUAGCUAAAUGCGGAAGAGAUAAGUGCUGAAAGCAUCUAAGCACGAAACUUGCCCCGAG
rnacentral:rRNA from 1 species